rnacentral:RNase_P_RNA from 1 species
CAAACCCCACCCGGAGCAAGGCCAAAUAGGAGAGCGAUCGGACGGCCCGUCCGUGGCUCUCGGGUAAGGCCGCUCGAGACGCCGGGCAACCGGCGUCCUAGAGAAAUGACCGUCACCCUGGGUCACACGCUCGGGGGACAGGACCCGGCUUACAGAUCUUCUCUGGCG